rnacentral:tRNA from 8 species
UCCCCGGUAGCUCAGUCGGUAGAGCGGGUGACUGUUAAUCACUAGGUCGCAGGUUCGAGUCCUGCCCGGGGAGCCA